rnacentral:rRNA from 1 species
CACGUAGGGCGCGAGCGUUGUCCGGAAUUAUUGGGCGUAAAGAGCUCGUAGGCGGCCUGUUGCGUCCGCUGUGAAAGCCCGGGGCUUAACCCCGGGUCGGCAGUGGAUACGGGCAGGCUAGAGGUAGGUAGGGGAGAAUGGAAUUCCCGGUGUAGCGGUGAAAUGCGCAGAUAUCGGGAGGAACACCGGUGGCGAAAGCGGCUUCCUGGUCCAGCAUCGACGUUCAGGCACGAAAGCGUGGGGAGCAAACAGG